UUGUGGAGGAGGACGCCGAAGGUGGGGCUAAUGACUGGGGUGAAGUCGUAACAAGGUAGCCGUACCGGAAGGUGCGGCUGGAUCACCUCCUAACAGGGAGACAACAAAAUGUUUAAUAUUAUUAUUUUGUCACCUUAGGUCGAUCGGUAUCUCACGUUCUUAAUUUUUUAAGAAUUUCAUUUCCUAAGUUUUUCUAGGUCACACCCAUUAUUUUUCCUGGGCCAUUAGCUCAGGUGGUUAGAGCGCACCCCUGAUAAGGGUGAGGUCCCUGGUUCAAGUCCAGGAUGGCCCAUAUCUCUAUGUUGGGGGUAUAGCUCAGUUGGUAGAGCGCCUGCUUUGCAAGCAGGAUGUCAGCGGUUCGAGUCCGCUUACCUCCACUGAUUACCACCUCUUCCAUAACCGGUAGAAAGGAAAUGUUUUGAGUUGUGAUCAUUAUUCUGAACGAAUCUAGCUUCCUAAUGAAAUCAUUAAGAUGCUGGACUCAUUGAAUUAAUUUCAUUGUUUUCAGAGAACCUUGACAACUGCAUAGAUUUUUUUAAAGACAAUAAGCAUCUUUAAUGAUGCAGAUUUAUUAUUUGUGCGAAUGCAUUAAUAACAAUUCUAUUAAGCUGAUGCUUCAAUUUUGAAGUUAUUGGUCAAGCUACAA
rnacentral:misc_RNA from 1 species